rnacentral:rRNA from 1 species
UUGAACGCUGGCGGCAUGCUUUACACAUGCACGUCGAACGGUAACAGGCCUUCGGGUGCUGACGAGUGGCGAACGGGUGAGUAAUGCAUCGGAACGUACCCAGAGGUGGGGGAUAACGCAGCGAAAGCUGUGCUAAUACCGCAUGUGAUCUGAGGAUGAAAGCGGGGGACCGAGCAGCAAUGUUUGGCCUCGCGCCUUUGGAGCGGCCGAUGUUGGAUUAGCUAGUUGGUGGGGUAAAGGCCUACCAAGGCGACGAUCCGUAGCUGGUCUGAGAGGACGACCAGCCACACUGGGACUGAGACACGGCCCAGACUCCUACGGGAGGCAGCAGUGGGGAAUUUUGGACAAUGGGCGCAAGCCUGAUCCAGCAAUGCCGCGUGCGGGAAGAAGGCCUUCGGGUUGUAAACCGCUUUUGGCAGGAACGAAACGGUGUCCGCUAAUACCGGGCGCUAAUGACGGUACCUGCAGAAUAAGCACCGGCUAACUACGUG